rnacentral:rRNA from 1 species
UACGGGGGGGGUAAGCGUUGUUCGGAAUUACUGGGCGUAAAGGGCUCGUAGGCGGCCAACUAAGUCAUACGUGAAAUCCCUCAGCUUAACUGGGGAACUGCGUGUGAUACUGGAUGGCUUGGAUGUGGGAGAGGGAUGCGGAAUUCCAGGUGUAGCGGUGAAAUGCGUAGAUAUCUGGAGGAAUACCGGUGGCGAAGGCGGCAUCCUGGACCGGCAUUGACGCUGAGGAGCGAAAGCUAGGGGAGCAAACGGG